UACGUAGGGUGCGAGCGUUGUCCGGAAUUACUGGGCGUAAAGAGCUUGUAGGUGGUUUGUCGCGUUGUUCGUGAAAUCUCACGGCUCAACUGUGAGCGUGCGGGCGAUACGGGCAGACUAGAGUACUGCAGGGGAGACUGGAAUUCCUGGUGUAGCGGUGGAAUGCGCAGAUAUCAGGAGGAACACCGGUGGCGAAGGCGCUGCUCUGGGCCGGUACUGACGCUGAGGAGCGAAAGCGUGGGUAGCAAACAGG
rnacentral:rRNA from 1 species